UCCGGCUUAUCACCGGCAGUUUCUCUAGAGUGCCCAACUAAAUGGUAGCAACUAGAGACGAGGGUUGCGCUCGUUGCGGGACUUAACCCAACAUCUCACGACACGAGCUGACGACAGCCAUGCAGCACCUGUCACUCAUCCAGCCGAACUGAAGGAAACCAUCUCUGGAAUCCGCGAUGAGGAUGUCAAACGUUGGUAAGGUUCUGCGCGUUGCUUCGAAUUAAACCGCAUGCUCCACCGCUUGUGCAGGCCCCCGUCAAUUUCUUUGAGUUUUAGCCUUGCGGCCGUACUCCCCAGGCGGGGCGCUUAAUGCGUUAGCUGCGGCACGGAGACCUGGAGAGGUCCCCACACCUAGCGCCCAACGUUUACAGCGUGGACUACC
rnacentral:misc_RNA from 1 species